CACAGGUGUCAACCUUUUAUUACUUUAUGAACUGCCUCAUAACUGUUUGGUAUCAAAGAUACUAAGCAGUUUGAACGUGAACUGCUGCAAGCUAAGAGCAUCUGCUUUAAAAGUUUUUCCUUCUCUUCGAAGGAUAUUCCUAAAGCAAGUGGUCAUCAUUGAUUCUUCAGUUAGAGUUCUGGCAUCAAAAUUUCCCGUCCUAGAAGACCUGAGCCUGGAAAAUUGUGUCUUCUCCAAACAAUUUUUUCUGUGUGAUGAAGACUUGAUGAUUAAAAGACUUUAUGUGACCAACUGCAAGCCCAAUGAGAUCCCCACCUUUGAGAUUAACAUAUCAACUCCGCAGCCUAGUACUCCUGGUGUUACACGGAGUCUAUGUCAAAUUGACUUCUAUUAGGAAAGCCACACAACUGGUUGAUGUCACAAUGGACAUUAGACAUUUGCUUGUCACUGAAGAACGAAUAGGUAUUGCUUCAUUGCUGAGUGGAUUACGCCACUGCCAGAAUCUGACAUUAACACCAUGGUGCAUUCAGGCUCUGCCUGCAGAUGAAAAUCUGAGAGAUCAAGCAAGGUUCCAACUUCGGGAGGUGGUGCAACUAACUUUACUGCUGUGCUUAGAAAAGGAUAAUCUUCCAAGAGUGGCCUGCCUACUAAGGAGCUGUCUGAAUCUGAAAUAGCUUACUCUAACAUUGCACGGAAAUGUUAGGGCACAUAACAUGGGUGAUUUCUUCAGAAAUGGUGGUCCAGGCAUUUCAGACUAUGAUCCAGAGCACUACUUUCAAUCUGAAUGUUUGCCAUUCCCUUGUCUGGAAAGCAGUCUCAAGAAAAUUACAGUUACUGGGUUUGCUGGAAGAAGGAAUGAGAUGAAGAUUGUCCGUUUUCUGCUGAGAAAUGCAAGAGUCUUGAAGAAUAUUUCCAUCUUCUAUGAAGACGCAGAGGAGUAUUAUAGAGGAGAGAUGGGACUGUGGAGGCAAAAUGGGCGAUUCCACCAAAUAUUUUGUGAGCUGCUAAGGUAUCAGAGGGCAUCCGCUCAAGCUGAGGUGAUAUUUUCAAGCCCCCAACACCACUGUGUUGGUCAUGAAGGGUACUAUCUGCUUCAGUAGUUAUGUCUAUGCUCUUCCUAAGUUCUCCCUUUCACAUCGUCCUGCUGAUGAAGGCUUAUGAUCUAUACAGCUGUUCUCUU